AUUGAACGCUGGCGGCAGGCCUAACACAUGCAAGUCGAGCGAGCGGCGGACGGGUGAGUAAUGUCUGGGAAUCUGCCUGAUGGAGGGGGAUAACUACUGGAAACGGUAGCUAAUACCGCAUACCAUCAGAUGUGCCCAGAUGGGCUUAGCUUGUAGGGUGGGUAACGGCUCACCUAGGCGACGAUCCCUAGCUGGUCUGAGAGGAUGACCAGCCACACUGGAACUGAGACACGGCCCAGACUCCUACGGGAGGCAGCAGUGGGGAAUAUUGCACAAUGGGCGCAAGCCUGAUGCAGCCAUGCCGCGUGUAUGAAGAAGGCCUUCGGGUUGUAAAGUACUUUCAGCGGGGAGGCGUUACUCACAGAAGAAGCACCGGCUAACUCCGUGCCAGCAGCCGCGGUAAUAC
rnacentral:rRNA from 1 species